ensembl:misc_RNA Metazoa_SRP Metazoan signal recognition particle RNA
GCUUACAUGCAUUGGCACACUUAACCAUUACUCAGGAGGCCGAGGCAAGAGGAUUACUUGAGCCCAGUGUCUCAGGACUGUAGUGCACUAUGCCAAUUGGGUGUCCACACUAACUUUGGCAUCAAUAUGAUGACAUCCUGGGAAUGGAAACCGGCUCAGGAAAUGGAUCAGGUCAAGACUCCCAUGCUGAUCAAUAGCGGGAUAGCACCUGUGAAUAGCCAUUGCACUUCAGCCUGGGCAACAUAGAGAUACCCUGUCUAUU